rnacentral:lncRNA from 1 species
UCUUUUUAAACAUGUUUUCUUUUAACUAUUCUCUUAAGUGCAAUACUACCUCUUGUGCUCUUCUGAACUUUUUUGAGUUCCAAGUUUCCUUAAAACAUGCUCCUUCUACUCUCAUUAUGUUUCGAAUCAGUUUCUUCACUUUGUUGCUUCGAACUUGCUAUUGUAUCUGCUUGUUUUCUCAUAAGUCCCUGAAAGAGACCUCUGAGCCUAUUUCAGUUAUUUUUGUUCUCGUCUCUGUAUCUGAUUCGAGUUGAAAAUCCUAGGAUUUGGGGGUUUUUGACGAGUUUGAUCUUGUCAUUGGAAUAGGGUUCUGUUUUGGAACCUGGACUCUCUCAAACUCAUUCUAAGUCUAUUUAAUAUAUUUGAACCUCUUUGUUUAUGACUCUGAACUCUUAUAUACUAGACUCUUCUGAUUAGUAUGACAGUUCUUUCUUGUUUAAGCAUGUCUAUAUGCUUUUAUAUGUGUG